rnacentral:misc_RNA from 1 species
GUUCGCGGGAGAGUAGGUUAUUGCCAGGGUUUUUAUUUUAUACUUUAAACUUUGAUUUUAUUUUUAUGUUUUUUAAAUAUUGGUGUUUUUGAAUGUGUUGUUUAAAUAACAUAAAAAAUAAAAUAUAUAUUGACAUGUAUUAAACAAAGAUAUAUAUUAUUUUAUGUUGUAUAAAUAAAUUGGCAAAAUAGAGAUGGAAGAUAAAAAUAUGGUCAAAGUAAUAAGAGUCUAUGGUGAAUGC